rnacentral:rRNA from 1 species
UACGGAGGGUGCAAGCGUUGUCCGGAAUCACUGGGCGUAAAGGGCGCGUAGGCGGCUCAUGAAGGCUGUGGUGAAAGUCCGGGGCUCAACCUCGGAUCGGCCGUGGCGACUCGUGGGCUGGAGCACUGUAGAGGCAGGUGGAAUUCCGGGUGUAGCGGUGGAAUGCGUAGAGAUCCGGAAGAACACCAGUGGCGAAGGCGGCCUGCUGGGCAGUGGCUGACGCUGAGGCGCGACAGCGUGGGGGAGCAAACAGGG